AUGAAUGACAGUAUUUAUAUAUUCGUUGUUUCUGAUCCCUUCCCAUUUCUAUUUACAAAUGGAUAUCAUCCCUUUGCUUUUCUGACUUCUUUUUUUGUUCUUUCGGUCACUGAUGGAUGCAGGUCAGGUCAGAUUUGUAUGAAACACCGAUGUAACAAUUGUUUUUGUCUGGUUCAUCCUGCAUACUCGAACAUACCUGUUUGUUUUUCUUGUAUACACAGUUAUGACAGACAGUUCCCAUGUUGA